rnacentral:rRNA from 1 species
GACGAACCGCGCGAACGUUGUUCGGAAUCACUGGGCUUAAAGGGCGCGUAGGCGGCCCGCCGCGUCCGGGGUGAAAUCCUCCCGCUCAACGGGAGAACGGCCUCGGAUACGGGCGGGCUGGAGGCGGGUAGGGGCGGGCGGAACUGUGGGUGGAGCGGUGAAAUGCGUUGAUAUCCACAGGAACUCCGGUGGCGAAGGCGGCCCGCUGGACCCGAUCUGACGCUGAGGCGCGAAAGCCAGGGGAGCGAACGGG